rnacentral:lncRNA from 1 species
UUAUAAACGAGAAAGUAAAUAAUUCAGACACUAGGCGGCGUACCAUUCGACAAGUCUCGAACUCAGAUUCAGUUAAGAAGUUACAAUGGUUAUAUGUUAUGUUGUUAUUGUUCUCACGAUGGAAGUAAAUACAUGAAGUAUUUAAAAUUUUAUAGAAUAGAUUCAAUAAAAACCAUUACACCGAUUAUACCGUUUGUAUUUUUUGUCUAACCAACGACUAUAUAACCUGUAUGUCUUCCAUACCGGUGUUAACUGAUUAUUUGAACGUUAGGGUUAACAUUCUCUACGUAAAUCAGGAAGAUGGCGGAACAACAGAAAAGUUUAUCCAGAAGUCAAGCUGGUUAUAAAAUCUUGGAUG